rnacentral:snoRNA from 1 species
CCGAUGUGGACAUCCUGUGAGGUUGCUCUUGCAUGGCUCUGUCCUUGUGGCGUAUGGGAGCGUAGCACUACGGUGCCGUGACGUAGAGUCCCGUUCCGCGGCAUCGUAGAGCAAGCUUUGUCCCCCGGCCCUCUGGGCUGGUGAGGACCAGCGUCCUGUAUAUUCCUACAUCUUCCCAGAGCUCCUUGGGCCAUGACUGGGGGGCUAAACCAUGCAUUGCACAGCU